rnacentral:rRNA from 1 species
UGGGGAAUCUUGCACAAUGGGGGCAACCCUGAUGCAGCGACGCCGCGUGAGCGAUGAAGCCCUUCGGGGCGUAAAGCUCUUUCGACCGGAACGAUAAUGACGGUACCGGGAGAAGAAGCUGCGGCUAACUACGUGCCAGCAGCCGCGGUAAUGCGUAGGGUGCGAGCGUUAAUCGGAAUUACUGGGCGUAAAGCGUGCGCAGGCGGUUUUGUAAGACAGAUGUGAAAUCCCCGGGCUUAACCUGGGAACUGCGUUUGUGACUGCAAGGCUGGAGUACGGCAGAGGGGGGUGGAAUUCCACGUGUAGCAGUGAAAUGCGUAGAGAUGUGGAGGAACACCGAUGGCGAAGGCAGCCCCCUGGGCCUGUACUGACGCUCAUGCACGAAAGCGUGGGGAGCAAACA